AGGGUUAUAGUUAAAAUAUAACAUUUGAUUUGCAUUCAAAAAUUAUUUAUUACAUAAAUAAAUUUA
rnacentral:tRNA from 1 species